UACGUAGGGCGCAAGCGUUGUCCGGAAUUAUUGGGCGUAAAGAGCUCGUAGGCGGCUUGUCGCGUCGGAUGUGAAAGCCCGGGGCUUAACCCCGGGUCUGCAUUCGAUACGGGCAGGCUGGAGUGUGGUAGGGGAGAUCGGAAUUCCUGGUGUAGCGGUGAAAUGCGCAGAUAUCAGGAGGAACACCGGUGGCGAAAGCGGCUCACUGGCCCGAUAUUGACGCUCAUGUACGAAAGCGUGGGGAGCAAACAGG
rnacentral:rRNA from 1 species